rnacentral:rRNA from 1 species
GAAAUGACUGCUAAUACCGCAUAAGCGCACAGGGCCGCAUGGUCUGGUGUGAAAAACUCCGGUGGUGUAAGAUGGACCCGCGUCUGAUUAGGUAGUUGGUGGGGUAACGGCCCACCAAGCCGACGAUCAGUAGCCGACCUGAGAGGGUGACCGGCCACAUUGGGACUGAGACACGGCCCAAACUCCUACGGGAGGCAGCAGUGGGGAAUAUUGGACAAUGGGCGAAAGCCUGAUCCAGCGACGCCGCGUGAGUGAAGAAGUAUUUCGGUAUGUAAAGCUCUAUCAGCAGGGAAGAAAAUGACGGUACCUGACUAAGAAGCCCCGGCUAGCUACGUGCCAGCAGCCGCGGUAAUACGUAGGGGGCAAGCGUUAUCCGGAUUUACUGGGUGUAAAGGGAGCGUAGACGGUUAAGCAAGUCUGAAGUGAAAGCCCGGGGCUCAACCCCGGUACUGCUUUGGAAACUGUUUGACUUGAGUGCAGGAGAGGUAAGUGGAAUUCCUAGUGUAGCGGUGAAAUGCGUAGAUAUUAGGAGGAACACCAGUGGCGAAGGCGGCUUACUGGACUGUAACUGACGUUGAGGCUCGAAAGCGUGGGGAGCAAACAGGAUUAGAUACCCUGGUAGUCCACGCCGUAAACGAAGAAUGCUAGGUGUCGGGGGACAAAGUCCUUCGGUGCC